rnacentral:rRNA from 1 species
UGGGGAAUUUUGGACAAUGGGCGAAAGCCUGAUCCAGCAAUGCCGCGUGUGUGAAGAAGGCCUUCGGGUUGUAAAGCACUUUUGUCCGGAAAGAAAUCCUUGGCUCUAAUACAGUCGGGGGAUGACGGUACCGGAAGAAUAAGCACCGGCUAACUACGUGCCAGCAGCCGCGGUAAUACGUAGGGUGCAAGCGUUAAUCGGAAUUACUGGGCGUAAAGCGUGCGCAGGCGGUUUGCUAAGACCGAUGUGAAAUCCCCGGGCUCAACCUGGGAACUGCAUUGGUGACUGGCAGGCUAGAGUAUGGCAGAGGGGGGUAGAAUUCCACGUGUAGCAGUGAAAUGCGUAGAGAUGUGGAGGAAUACCGAUGGCGAAGGCAGCCCCCUGGGCCAAUACUGACGCUCAUGCACGAAAGCGUGGGGAGCAAACAGGAUUAGAUACCCUGGUAGUCCACGCCCUAAACGAUGUCAACUAGUUGUUGGGGAUUCAUUUCCUUAGUAACGUAGCUAACGCGUGAAGUUGACCGCCUGGGGAGUACGGUCGCAAGAUUAAACUUAAUGGAAUUGACGGGGUCAUAGCUGUUUCCU